AGAAGCUCCUGAUUUUUCACAGCUGGAGACAGGCCGUCGGAAAUUCAGUAAAACACGAAGGGAAAGAACAGUCACAAGAGAGAACCACACAGAAGUCAGUCUCUCUUCUCUCAAGGAAGAAAUCUGGGAAUAGCCUUCCAAAAGGGUAAAACAAACAAAGAUGCAGACAUCUCAAGGAAACUAGAAGCCAAGAAAUCAAAAGAAGCUUUCAGAUGAGUGGGAAACCAUGCAUCCCUGCUGAAAGCAAGCUCAUGCAAGUGGGAAAACAUCCCAAAAGGCAACUUGGAUGAGAUGUGGCUUCAGGCACUUUCCAGAGCCAGACUGUAAGUCUAUUUCCGAGUGUCCUGCAGGUGUUCCAAGUGUCUGUGGACAAAACUAAAGCUAGAAGGCGGCAGAACGAAUCUAUCCUUGCUCUUCACGGCCACUCUUUGCUAAAGAGAGGCAGUAAACACAUUUAUUGUGCACUGUUUCCUCCUCUGCAUAGUUUUUCAUGUUCUUGAA